UCAUAAAGCUCUUGACCUCCUUCCCUUACAAACCAAAUUUCAAUAGGAAGUUCCUUCUAUAAAAUUUGUAUCUUUUAGAAUAAGAACCAGCCAUCAAAAACCCAAGGGGAUUGUAUUUGAUCUACACAUUUACAGAGAACUUGGGAAAUUUGAUUUGUGAACAAAAAACAAUAAAGAACUUGCAAAUGAAAUAGAGGGUGGUUUUAAAAUUUAUAAAAAAAGAAAAAAAUACACACACACACACACACAAAAAAAAAAAAUUCUUUCCCUUCUCUUUUCACUGCACAAAUGCAAGAUCCCAAACACAACUUGAAAGUGCCUAUGCAAAUAAAUCUUAACCACACGAGUUAAAUUUUAGAGCAAAGCAAAGCAAAUAAAUCAUAGAAAGUAAAGUAAGGUAAAGCAUGUAUGUAUAUAACCUACAACACGGAUCUACAUACUACAUUUGACCAUCCACUGCUGAGGUUCUUAUAUAUUUAAAUUAAAAAAGAACCUUGCAAAAUACAUGAUUUCUUUAGAAAAUACAAUGUACAUUAAUGUCUAUUUAAGUUUCAGACAACUACUCUGGGCUAAUGAAAGUCUACACUCUUUCUUAUGCUUCCUCGGUAAAAACCCAUGUACAGAAACUGUGACAUCAUCCCGAAUCAAGCUGGCUUCCUGCCCUGUACGAGGUUUCAUCGGAUUAUUGAAGGCUGUCCCAGUCUGCACAGUCUAUGUCCUUCCAAUCCCUGCAAAUAAACGUAGGGUGAACUACUUUAGCAACAGAUGCGUGCUUUAACUCGCUGUAGAGUGAAUGUUUUUCUGCCUGUUUCCAAUCCGAUGUAAAUAUGGUCAUUUCAGCACCAACUGGAAGUGGAAAAACAGUACUUUUUGUGCUUUUCAUUUUGAGACUGGUCUCAAGGUUCAUCUCUGCAGAGGGAAGAUUUAUUCACUUAAAGGGAAUGCUCAAAACAGUAGGCUUUCUACAAUUUUAUAUAUGAAAAAAUUUUAGAUGUUUAUUUAAACACUGAAAAGUUCAGAAGAUUAUUGAUUUCACACCACCAGGACACCUACCAAUGUUCUUUAUUUCAUUUACUUUGUAUUGUUGGUUAGUUUUGGGAAUUAACUCCUUAUAUUAUGGAAGGGAUUUUAUUAUUAUUUGAUUUUAUUUGAUCUAUAUACAUAUAUAUAAAUAUAUUUUUAGGGUCUAUUAUACCUUGUUGUUUGACUGAUGAGGUCUAUUAUAAUUGUUAAAUCCAUUAUUGCUUCAACAGUUGAAAUCUUUUUCUGUAUACUUUCACUUUUAUCAAUGAUUAGAAAAUGGAUGUAUCUUACAAAACAAUUACAGUAGUUUUGGGAAUCUCUUAUGUGUGAGAAGGGAUUUUGAAUAAGGGAGAAGGGAUUUUGAAUUUGUGUGAAAAUGUAUCAGAGAUACAUUUCAAUUCAACAACUGAGAUGUGUUGUUUUUAACCAUUGAGGGUUGAGAUGUGUUGUUUUCAACGGCCCCUUGAUGUGUUGUUUUCAAUUCCUGCCCAAAACAAUCCCCUCUCUCUCCUGUGUUCCACCCACUCCAAACAUUAUUUGCACACUUCUCUCUCUCUCUCACUCUCCAACUUCUCAGGUCUCAAACUCUGUCCUCAGAGAUCUCUCUCUUCCUCUCCCUCCUCUCUAUUGCCGCUCUGCUUCCACCAUCACGUCGUCUCCACCGUCGCGUCGCCUCCGAUCUCCACCGACAGCAACUCUUCAUCUCUUCUCCAUAUUAGAUCUCAACCCACUACGGCACCUCCGUCCUCCAUCACAGAGAAACCGAUAAAGAGUUACGGUAUCGUUUCAUCUAUAAUCAUUUUCCGAGUUUGCACGAGGAGGACAUUAUAGGAAAAACGGAUGUGGAGACUUCAAAACUGAUUAUUCACUGAUUAUUCACUGGUGCUGGUGUAAAGGAAUCUCUAGACUUCAAAACAGAAGUUUUGGAACGAGGAGUACCUGCAAAAAGGGAAAUUACUUUUGAGACAGAACUAUUUGGGUCAAAGACAUUUUUGAUAUAUGUUGAACCUGUAUUCAGCAACGCAGGGGAUACUAUUGGUGUGAAUUACAUGGGUAUGGAUGUAACUGAUCAGGCCAGACCACAACUUGCAAGAUGUAAAAAUCAAUAUCUUCCCUUUCAAAAGAAGAAAGGUGAAGGCACCAGAAGUUACAGCUUCUGUUACAUUACCUGUGAGAAGGAGAGAUCACUCUCAUCAUUGGUGGUCUGCACUCCCAGAGUAUCAACACAGACUACCAUGACAGGAAGAAGGUCAAAAGCUAUUGCAAGAAAGGCAUCUUCUGUACGAAGUUCCAGUUUUCCCACUGAAAAGCCUGUUAAGAAAGAGGAAGAUUCUGUGGAAGAUCAUCCAAAGGGCUUAAGCUCACCCGAGACUUUAACCAAAUUAACUCAGAAUAUAAG